rnacentral:lncRNA from 1 species
CUGGCCCUGAGCUAACAUCCAUGCCCAUCUUCCUCUACUUUAUAUGUAGGACUCCUGCCACAGCAUGGCUAGACAAGUGGUGCCAUGUCCAAACCCAGGAUCCAAACUGGCGAACCCCGGGCCGCCGAAGCACAGCGCGCGAACUUAACUGCUAUGCCACCGGGAUGGCCUCCUAAAUGUGACUUUUAGGAAACAGUGGAUGGGGCUUCUGUGUAGGCAGCUGGCAUGGAGCAUCGAUCUCCCGGGAGCAGGUGGUCCUUCCAUAUGAGGAAACCAAGACCUAGAGAGCCUGUCCAGGAUCCUGCUGGAAAGGAGUGGAACUGGGACUCCUCUCCGAGGCCUGCAACUCCCAAACCGAGGCUGGGACCCACUGGGGCUCUUACAGGCCAGAGGCCUCCACGUGGCAUGGUGGGGGAGGAAGCAGCUGCCAGCCUUCUGAGUGCCAGAGAGCAGGCAGCUGGGCAGCAGCCACCUUCCACAGUCCUUUCCCCUUGGACUCCGGGGAGGGGACGGGGCAGCAGUCCAGCCCUACGCCCUGCACACCUGGACUGGCCCCUCCUCUAGCCCCCUCCUCCCUUGGCCUCACCUCCAGGAGGUGGGGUGGGCAGUGUGUGUGAGGACAGACAUGCCCAGCAGGGCUCCAGGACCCGGGACACCAGGCCUCACCUUGCCUGGCCCACCCGGCUCAUUUCUGUCCU